CCCAAUUUUUGAUCCAGUGGAAGAGUGAGACGUGACAGUCAGCUGACGGAGGAUGAAAGGCCACCUAUGUUACCCACAAAGCAGGUGCUGAAGAGUCCUCACACUGACUCCUAGAACAGGUCCGCACCCAUCCUGACUCAGGCCACACUGCAUGGCAGGAGAGAGAGAGAGAGGAGUAGAGAGAAGGAGGAGUAAAGAGAGGUAGAGAUAAAGAUACAGAAAGACAGAAAGACAGAAAGAGAAAGAGAUAGAGAUGUAGACAGAUAAAGAUAGAAAAGAUAUAGAGACAUAGAGAUAGAGAGAGUUAGAGAAAGAGAGAGAGAAAUGUAGAGAGAGAUUGAGAGGGCAGAGGGAGAUGGGACUUCCUGGGCGAACAAGCAAUAGGAACAGGUGAACCUGUUCCGGCGGGUUGGGAAGACCUGGCUGGGACAGGCGGGCUGAAGGUGCCUGUGCUUCACCUGCAUGUCUGGUUUGCUUUCCCAGGUUCCUCACCCUGUAGGCUCUGCCAAGGCCUGAGUAUGAUGCUGUGGGUGAUUCACUGCCCAGAAGAUGAUGAGGGCCUGGGUCAGGACCAGCCUGGACUAUAAGAAGAUAGAAUCCAGUGCAUUCUACACAAUAUGAAUGAAUAAGAGAGUGAAGAAAGUUGCUCAGUGAAUCUGCUACAGCAGGAGAACUUUUUCUGUGCUGUAUGGAGCACCUCAUGCUACUUCACCAAGGCUGACGUCAUGUGGAAAAUGGCCAGUGAUUUUCGUGUCCACCCUGGAGUGUGAAAAGAAACGUCAAUUCAGGCUAGACCAAAGAAACCACCCACAAGGAGUCCCUGGAUAUGAAGGUGAGAAAAUACACAGAGAUUCUCUAAAAGCCAGAGAGCUACUUAGAGUGGCUGAAGCAAGUAUCAGCAGAAAUAGAAUAACAUGGCGGGCGCCUGUGGUCCCAGCUACUCGGGAGGCUGAGGCAGGAGAAUGGCGGGAACCCGGGAGGCGGAGCUUGCAGUGAGCUGAGAUCCGGCCACUGCACUCCAGCCUGGGCGACAGAGCGAGACUCCGUCUCAAAAAAAAAAAGAAAAAAAAAAGAAAUAGAAUAACAAAUGAGAAGAAGCUGAAGUUGUCUACCUUCUGGUCCCUCUUCCUUCUUUCCUGUUCUGCCCAGAUUUUAGAAUCAACUGCAUUGAUGAGAGGGGGUCUAGAGGGAACUGAUCCAAACAGCUGAUGUCUGUGGCAAAGCUGCAAGGCCACUGUCCUUAAGAGUUCUUUAUAUAAGUUUUGGUGAGGCUCACUGCUAUAAGCUGUGAAGAUGAAAUGCCAGUGGCUCAGAAUGGAGUUUACUUGUCUCUCAUGUGAAAGUCCCAAAUGGGCUUUCCUGGUCAGUGACUAACUCUCCUCUAUGCAGUUAUUCAGACUUCAGCCCUUUCCCUCCUAUGGCACCAUCCUUUUAAACUCCUGGGCUUUCAAGUUCUCCAGGCUCAUCUGCAUCAAGCCAGAGUGGGAAAGAGCAUGAAGGAAGAUGUGCAGGAAGUCUACAAGGGCCUGGCUUAGUAUCACACAUCACUCCCACCCACUUCCCAUUGGGAAGCACGGUCAAGCCACCUAAAUGUGAGGACACCUAGUCUAGUGUGUGCCAGCGAUGGAGAGGAGACAUAGUUUGAUGAAUACAGCAGGCUUUGCCACAGAACAUAGCAUUUCUUGAGAGCUAACCAAGGCCAGGUGUGGUGGCUCACACCUGUAAUCCCAGCAUUCCAGGAGGCCGAGGUGGGCGGAUCACUUGAGGACAGGAGUUUGAGACCAUCCUGGUCAACAUAGCAAAACUCCAUCUCUACCAAAAUACAAAAAUUAGCUGGGUGUGGUGGUGCACACCUGUAAUCCCAGUGAGUCAGGAGGCUGAGGCAGGAGAAUCACUUGAGCCCCGGAGGUGGAGGUUGCAGUGAGUCGAGAUGUCACCACUGCACUCCAGCCUGGGCAACAGAGUGAGACCCUGUCUCAAAAAACAAACAAACAAAAAAACAAAAUAUGUGCCAAGCACUGUGCUUGGCAUGGCAGGUUCGAUUAUUGCAUUUCACAGGGAGCUAAGUCACUUGUCCCAGCUUCACAGCUGAAGAGUGGCAGAACUGAGUUAGAA
ensembl:lncRNA